AACCGCUUGUUUCUCCCUUCCUCUCUCUCUUUCUCCCUAUUUUCAUAACACGUUAUCAAAACCAUUGCUAACGGUUCGAUGAUAGCAUUGAAAACGAAAAGCAAAGGAACAUACCAUCACCCAUCCGGAUUAAGCGAAAAGAAAAAUAGAGGAACUACCGUUAUUCAAUGGUUACAUUUCCUCGCCGUCGUCCCUCACUAAAUCGCGUUCCAAGCCGUUGCGUUACCAGAAAUUUCGGUAAUCUGGGUUGAUUUGGAUCAUGAUGGUCGGAUUACUGGUGUCGAAGCCGUCGCUUUUUUUCAAGUUCUUUCCCAGGUCGAACCUUGAAUGAGAGCCAGCGGCUCCUUGCCCAAACAACUGCUACCUUGGGCCUUCACAGCUCUCUGGACUUCUUUGGUGUUGGUGAUGUUUCUGACAUCGUGGAGACGGCUGCCUCUGGUGAGCGAUUACACAAUAUUAGUAGAUGAAGCAGCUAUUUUAUACCUGACUUGAUCUGACUCACCAAUGGCUAUAAAAGAAAUGCAUGCAUCAACUUUUCCAAAUAUCUGGCGAAUAUGCCGGAGAAAUUGAACCAGUGUAAGCUUGAUGCUCGCCGUGAACAAUGCCUUUCGCAAGGUCCAGCAUUCAUUUUCUUUUCUUUUUUUGAUUUUUACAGUUCUGUAUUUUUCUUGCAUAAAUUAAAUUGGAAUCUUGCAUCCACUAAUUAUCUAGAGCUUGCUCUCUUUUUUUCAUUCACAAUGAAUUUCCUGGGCCCUUUGAUUGUAUUGGCAUAUCUUUCCUUUUAUAUAUUGUGACUGUCAGGAAGACGUAUGAUAACCUUGGUUAUUAUGGGUGCUUCAUAUGUAACCAUAUCUAACUUGGAUGUUGGAUAACC